rnacentral:rRNA from 1 species
UUUUAUAUGAGAGUUUGAUCCUGGCUCAGGACGAACGCUGGCGGCAUGCCUAAUACAUGCAAGUCGAACGCACGAAUUUGAAAA